rnacentral:rRNA from 1 species
UACGUAGGCAGCGAGCGUUGUUCGGAAUUACUGGGCGUAAAGAGUGUGUAGGCGGUGCUCUAAGUUCGGUGUGAAAUCUCCUGGCUUAACUGGGAGGGUGCGCCGGAAACUGGGGUGCUCGAGCGUGGGAGAGGAAAGCGGAAUUCCUGGUGUAGCGGUGAAAUGCGUAGAUAUCAGGAGGAACACCGGUGGCGAAGGCGGGUCUCUGGGCAGUAACUGACGCUGAGGAGCGAAAGCGUGGGGAGCGAACAGG